GGCUCCGUUGCGGAUGGUCCGCGUCUGUGAUAGUUGAUGUCUUCCCUAAACUUACCAUGCAGAAGCCGCUCGUUCGAAUCGAGCCGGAGUCA